GCGGACGUGGCUCAGGGGUAGAGCAUCGCCUUGCCAAGGCGAGGGUCGCGGGUUCGAAUCCCGUCGUCCGCUCCA
rnacentral:tRNA from 2 species